AGUUCUAGGGAGAUGCCCCUCAUUCCCAGACGAGGAGUAUGAAGCGCGUGCACACCGACCGUCCUACUACUUGGCGAGUGUAUUAGUAGGGUUUCCCGGUGUCUUUUCAGCAAGUGAAGAUUCUGCUUGUGUCCCCUUCCUACGCAUCCCAUCCCGGCUUUAGUUUAUAGGAGUUUAUACAAGAUCUGGUUUCUAGGGAAGUUGGGGGUCCCAGAUGAUGGUCCUGUUUUCUUUGUAAUAAAGUAGGUGUUACAAAGUUUGGAGGAGGGCGCCUUUUAGGAAUCCCACCUAAAAGAACACCUCUUUGGACUAACCCUCUCACUGGUACUUCAAAGCAGAGGAAGUGUCACAGCUAUGCUUCCAGAGUGCUCUGUGCAUUUCCAUGAUCAACAAACGAUGAAUAAAUCUCUGG
rnacentral:lncRNA from 1 species